UACGGAGGGUGCAAGCAUUGAUCGGAAUUACUGGGCGUAAAGGGCGCGUAGGCGGCUCUAAAAGUCGAUUGUGAAAUUCCAGGGCUCAACCCUGGAGCUGCAAAUGAAACUUUAGAGCUAAGAGGAGAGCAAGGGAAAACAGAAUUCCACGUGUAGCGGUGAAAUGCGUAGAUAUGUGGAAGAAUACCGGUGGUGAAGACGGUUUUCUGAGCUUAAUCCAGACGCUGAGGCGCGAAAGCUAGGGGAGCAA
rnacentral:rRNA from 1 species